rnacentral:rRNA from 1 species
AUGGCAAAUGAAGAAUAUUCUGAUUCUGAGCAGAUGGUUAUUCAUAACAUUUCGGCAGUGUCACUGUUUCGAUAUGUGCUAUUUGGAAGACUAUUCAAAACACCACGUAGUACUUCCAAAUUAACGGGUGCUCAGAAAACUAAAGAGUGGUUAGAAGGGCAUCCAGUUAGAUUUUAUGAACAACUUCGCGUUGAUAAGCACACCUUCUACUUACUGCGAGAUGCAUUGUGCGAGAGGAAUUUACUUAAGGAUACAAAACGGAUGGAUGUGAAUGAACAACUAGUGAUAUUUCUACAUACAAUUGGGCAUAAUGUUAGGAAUCGUGUUCUCCAGGAUAUAUUUCAACAUUCAGGAGAAACAAUUAGUCGACACUUCAAGAGAGUUUUAAAAGCCAUAAAUGGUUUGCGUGAUGUUUGCAUAACUGAUCCGGCCAAUGAAGUUCCAACCAAAAUAUUGGCCGAUGAAAGGUACUGCCCAUACUUCAAGAACUGCAUCGGAGCAAUUGAUGGGACACAUAUUAAUGCAAAGAUCAAGCUUGAUAAGCAAACUCCAUAUAGAAAUUGGCAUGGUUAUCCAUCUCAAAAUGUUAUGGCAGUAGUGUCAUUUGACAUGUCAUUUUUAUAUGUGGCUGCUGGAUGGGAAGGUUCUGCAUCGGAUCAGGCCGUUUUACGGUGGGCUGUUACUGAUGGUGGCUUUGUUGUUCCAGAAGGUAAAUUUUAUCUUGUUGACUCGGGAUACGCAAAUACUCCAAGAUUUAUUGCCCCCUACCGUGGAGAUCGCUAUCACAUUGGUUCUUUCCGUGGAACUAAUCGUCGGUAUAGUAGUGAGAAAGAUCUGUUCAACCAUCUACAUGCACAACUGCGGAAUGUUGUAGAACGCACUUUUGGUGUUCUAAAAGCCCGAUUUCCAAUAUUAACCAGGAAUGGAGGAAUCCCUUAUCCUUACAAAAAACAGGUCCAAAUUGUUAUGGCUUGUUGCAUCAUCCAUAACUUCAUUAGGAAGGUUGAUAGGGAUGAUGAGUUGUUUCAGCUUUUCGAACAAGAGGGUAUAGAAGGAAAUGUUGACACAGGUGACCAACAAGUUAGAGGGCACGUAAAUUUACAAGAAGAUGAUCGAGUUGCUGGUGAGCGAUUACGUGCAGGCAUCGCUCAACAGUUGUGGACUAAUCAUCAACGACGUACCACGCAAGAAGAAGAAGAAGAUGAUGAUGAUUAA